UACGUAGGGUGCAAGCGUUGUCCGGAAUUAUUGGGCGUAAAGAGCUCGUAGGCGGUUUGUCGCGUCUGCUGUGAAAACCCAGGGCUUAACCCUGGGCCUGCAGUGGGUACGGGCAAACUAGAGUGCGGUAGGGGAGAUCGGAAUUCCUGGUGUAGCGGUGAAAUGCGCAGAUAUCAGGAGGAACACCGAUGGCGAAGGCAGGUCUCUGGGCCACUACUGACGCUGAGAAGCGAAAGCAUGGGGAGCGAACAGG
rnacentral:rRNA from 1 species